UUUCGAAUUCUGGCGUACCCUCACAGCUUGUGAGCCUCAUAAAAAUUGUGAUCUCCUUCAGAGCAGGUCACAACUCACAAAUUACUAGAGUUUUGACAUUUUUUAUUUCCAUAAAUGUUUUGAGAACAAAUAAUUUUAGUUUUUUUAUUUGUUAGUCAAUAAAAAUGGAAUUAGACCUUAUUUUGUUGUAUCUAGUCAUAAUCCCAUAUGACUUUCUUAAUAAUUUAUAUCUUUUCUGUAAGAAACUCAGGACUAUCGUCACAGUAGCUUUUGCUGUAUCGAAAUCAAAUUCUCAUUGAAUCUGGAAAAAAGCCUUCAAUCAGGUUAAAACUAUCAAGAGCAAGUGCUCUCCUAAACAGCACGAGACGAACAAAAUAAACCCAGAGUGGGCAACGUUAUUUUUGGCCCAGCAUUAGGAUUUCAUGCGUGAGACUCAAACACCGUUGAAAGAAAGAAUUUACAAACUAGCUGCCAGUCCAGUGGACUGGUUGGUUACAAGAAACACAAAGCUGUGGAUGACAUCGAUUCUGACAAUUGUCCACCAUCUGUGCUGAAGAAGCUUUCCAAUAAACAAAGUAAUGCUUAAAAACCUGCGUCAAGCCACCGAAGUUGAUGUCAAUCGCAAACAACAUAAAAAGACUAUAUAGCAAAACGCUUAAAAGCAGCAGCGGCAACAUCAUCGACAAGUGCGCAUACAACAAUUACAACAACUUCAGUAUAUCAGCCCCAAACACCAAAAAUAAUAAACAGAGUCUAAUGACGUCCGCAGUUGAAGUUCCUUAGCCUAAUUGGCAAUUUUUAGUCAUCACAGGUUGACACAAUAAAUUAACAGGCCAAAAUCAGCCUCCAGUUGACCACAAGAUACAAAUAAGGCCAAUUGUCAAUGAUUCAAGCCUUUAAAUCAUUCCACACUACAACGGCCAGCUCACAAUCAUCACCCACGGCAACAGCAACAAUAGCAACAAGAAGCCAAUGCCAAAGCAUUAGCGUAUGCCCUUAUGCAGCCAUAAUGCAACUACCAGACCAUAAGCAAUACCCCAAGUUCCGCAAACACUGUGUGUUUCAAUUUUGUUUUGAUCGAUCUCAAAUUCACCAAAAGAUCACCAAUCGCAGACUCUGUUGAAAAAUUUUAUUUGUUUUGAUUUACAAAAAUCUUUCCUUAAUUCUAGAAAUUAUAGAUUUAUAUUUUUUUAGAAAAAUUAUUUUAUUAAAACGCAU